GCUCAGUGCACUCCCCUCUUUGCCUUUACAGUUUUCCACUUGAUAUGGGGGUGUAAUAACAACUUCUUCCAUGACUACGAUGUUUUUUUCUUGCCAUUUACAGUCUUUAAUGCUUACUAACAUUGAGUGAAGCUAGGGGAGGAGGGGUUUCUGUUCGGUCAUUAAUUAUUUCCACUUCUGAAACAUACUGUAAGUUUAUGAGCAAGAUGUCUGCAUGGUUGGGCUUUCCACUGGAAGAGGGACAUUUUAAAGCCAGCAUUUU
rnacentral:lncRNA from 1 species